rnacentral:rRNA from 1 species
UACAGAGGUCUCAACCGUUGUUCGGAUUCAUUGGGCGUAAAGGGUGCGUAGGCGGUCGGGUAAGUCGGAUGUGAAAUCUCAGGGCUCAACCCUGAAACUGCAUUCGAUACUGCUUGGCUAGGGUACUGGAGAGGAGACUGGAAUUUACGGUGUAGUGGUGGAAUGCGUAGAUAUCGGGAGGAACACCAGUGGCGAAGGCGGUUACCUGGAGCUUUGCUGACGCUGAUGCGCGAAAGCGUGGGGAGCGAUCCGG